AAGUCGUAACAAGGUUUCCGUAGGUGAACCUGCGGAAGGAUCAUUAAUGAAAUGUAGGACGCUCUUUUUAGAGGUCCGACCAAAUCAUUUUCCUUUACUCUGUGCACACACUACUUUUUACACCCAUUUUUAUACUCAUUAGUCUUAAGAAUGUAAAACAAGUCUCGAAAGAGCAAUAAAACAAAUAAAACUUUCGGCAACGGAUCUCUUGGCUCUC
rnacentral:misc_RNA from 1 species